GAUGAACGCUGGCGGCGUGCCUAAUACAUGCAAGUCGAGCGAACGGACGAGAAGCUUGCUUCUCUGAUGUUAGCGGCGGACGGGUGAGUAACACGUGGAUAACCUACCUAUAAGACUGGGAUAACUUCGGGAAACCGGAGCUAAUACCGGAUAAUAUUUUGAACCGCAUGGUUCAAAAGUGAAAGACGGUCUUGCUGUCACUUAUAGAUGGAUCCGCGCUGCAUUAGCUAGUUGGUAAGGUAACGGCUUACCAAGGCAACGAUGCAUAGCCGACCUGAGAGGGGGAUGGGCCACACGGGAAAUGAGCCACGGUCAAGACUAGGACGGGAGGCAGCAGUAGGGAAGAUGCGGCAAUGGGCGAAAGACUGACGGAGCAAAGGUGAGUGAGUGAUGAAGGUUUUAGGAUAUUAAAACUCUGUUAUUAGGGAAGAACAAAUGUGUAAGUAAAUAUGCACGUCCUGACGGUACCUAAUCAGAAAGCCACGGAUAACUACGUG
rnacentral:rRNA from 1 species